AGGUCUCGCCUGCCCAGUGACAAGUUAAACGGCCGCGGUAUUUUGACCGUGCGAAGGUAGCGCAAUCACUUGUCUUUUAAAUGAAGACCUGUAUGAAUGGUAGAACGAGGGCUUAACUGUCUCCCUUUUUAAGUCAAUGAAAUUGAUCUGCCCGUGCAGAAGCGGACAUAACAAUACAAGACGAGAAGACCCUUUGGAGCUUAAGACUCCAGAUCAAUUAUGUCAAGAACUUAUCAAGUUAAACCAAAUAACACCUGAUCCUAAUCUUUUGUUGGGGCGACCGCGGGAGAAAACAAAGCUCCCAUGAGGACUGGACCCACCUCCAGAACCAAGAAAGACAUCUCUAAGUCACAGAACCUCUGACCAUAAAGAUCCGGCCACCCGCCGACCAACGAACCAAGUUACCCUAGGGAUAACAGCGCAAUCCCCUUUCAGAGUCCAUAUCGACAAGGGGGUUUACGACCUCGAUGUUGGAUCAGGACAUCCUAAUGGUGCAGCCGCUAUU
rnacentral:rRNA from 1 species